rnacentral:rRNA from 1 species
AGAGUUUGAUCAUGGCUCAGAUUGAACGCUGGCGGCAGGCCUAACACAUGCAAGUCGAACGGUAACAGGAAGCAGCUUGCUGCUUCGCUGACGAGUGGCGGACGGGUGAGUAAUGUCUGGGAAACUGCCUGAUGGAGGGGGAUAACUACUGGAAACGGUAGCUAAUACCGCAUAAUGUCGCAAGACCAAAGAGGGGGACCUUCGGGCCUCUUGCCAUCGGAUGUGCCCAGAUGGGAUUAGCUUGUUGGUGGGGUAACGGCUCACCAAGGCGACGAUCCCUAGCUGGUCUGAGAGGAUGACCAGCCACACUGGAACUGAGACACGGUCCAGACUCCUACGGGAGGCAGCAGUGGGGAAUAUUGCACAAUGGGCGCAAGCCUGAUGCAGCCAUGCCGCGUGUAUGAAGAAGGCCUUCGGGUUGUAAAGUACUUUCAGCGGGGAGGAAGGGAGUAAAGUUAAUACCUUUGCUCAUUGACGUUACCCGCAGAAGAAGCACCGGCUAACUCCGUGCCAGCAGCCGCGGUAAUACGGAGGGUGCAAGCGUUAAUCGGAAUUACUGGGCGUAAAGCGCACGCAGGCGGUUUGUUAAGUCAGAUGUGAAAUCCCCGGGCUCAACCUGGGAACUGCAUCUGAUACUGGCAAGCUUGAGUCUCGUAGAGGGGGGUAGAAUUCCAGGUGUAGCGGUGAAAUGCGUAGAGAUCUGGAGGAAUACCGGUGGCGAAGGCGGCCCCCUGGACGAAGACUGACGCUCAGGUGCGAAAGCGUGGGGAGCAAACAGGAUUAGAUACCCUGGUAGUCCACGCCGUAAACGAUGUCGACUUGGAGGUUGUGCCCUUGAGGCGUGGCUUCCGGAGCUAACGCGUUAAGUCGACCGCCUGGGGAGUACGGCCGCAAGGUUAAAACUCAAAUGAAUUGACGGGGGCCCGCACAAGCGGUGGAGCAUGUGGUUUAAUUCGAUGCAACGCGAAGAACCUUACCUGGUCUUGACAUCCACAGAACUUUCCAGAGAUGGAUUGGUGCCUUCGGGAACUGUGAGACAGGUGCUGCAUGGCUGUCGUCAGCUCGUGUUGUGAAAUGUUGGGUUAAGUCCCGCAACGAGCGCAACCCUUAUCCUUUGUUGCCAGCGGUCCGGCCGGGAACUCAAAGGAGACUGCCAGUGAUAAACUGGAGGAAGGUGGGGAUGACGUCAAGUCAUCAUGGCCCUUAGGACCAGGGCUACACACGUGCUACAAUGGCGCAUACAAAGAGAAGCGACCUCGCGAGAGCAAGCGGACCUCAUAAAGUGCGUCGUAGUCCGGAUUGGAGUCUGCAACUCGACUCCAUGAAGUCGGAAUCGCUAGUAAUCGUGGAUCAGAAUGCCACGGUGAAUACGUUCCCGGGCCUUGUACACACCGCCCGUCACACCAUGGGAGUGGGUUGCAAAAGAAGUAGGUAGCUUAACCUUCGGGAGGGCGCUUACCACUUUGUGAUUCAUGACUGGGGUGAAGUCGUAACAAGGUAACCGUAGGGGAACCUGCGGUUGGAUCACCU